AUUGAACGCUGGCGGCACGCUUAACACAUGCAAGUCGAGCGGUAACAGGAUGUGUAGCAAUACACAUUGCUGACGAGCGGCGGACGGGUGAGUAACACGUAGGAACCUGUCCUUCAGAGGGGGACAACCAAGGGAAACUUUGGCUAAUACCGCAUAUACGCGAGAGAGGAAAGCUGCCCGCAAGGGUGGCACUGAAGGAGGGGCCUGCGGCCGAUUAGCUAGUUGGUGUGGUAAUGGCGCACCAAGGCGAAGAUCGGUAACUGGUCUGAGAGGACGACCAGUCACACUGGAACAGAGACACGGCCCAAACUCCUACGGGAGGCAGCAGUAGGGAAUCUUCCACAAUGGACGAAAGUCUGAUGGAGCAACGCCGCGUGAGUGAAGAAGGUUUUCGGAUCGUAAAACUCUGUUGUCAGAGAAGAACGUGUGCGAGAGUAACUGCUCGUGCAGUGACGGUAUCUGGCCAGAAAGCCACGGCUAACUACGUGCCAGCCGCCGCCGUAA
rnacentral:rRNA from 1 species